GACGAACGCUGGCGGCGUGCUUAACACAUGCAAGUCGAACGGAAAGACCCUGCUUUUGUGGGGUGCUCGAGUGGCGAACGGGUGAGUAACACGUGAGUAACCUGCCCUUGACUUUGGGAUAACUUCAGGAAACUGGGGCUAAUACCGGAUAGGAGCUCCUGCUGCAUGGUGGGGGUUGGAAAGUUUCGGCGGUUGGGGAUGGACUCGCGGCUUAUCAGCUUGUUGGUGGGGUAGUGGCUUACCAAGGCUUUGACGGGUAGCCGGCCUGAGAGGGUGACCGGCCACAUUGGGACUGAGAUACGGCCCAGACUCCUACGGGAGGAAGCAGUGGGGAAUAUUGCACAAUGGGCGGAAGCAUGAUGCAGCAACGCCGCGUGCGGGAUGACGGCCUUCGGGUUGUAAACCGCUUUCGCCUGUGACGAAGCGUGAGUGACGGUAAUGGGUAAAGAAGCACCGGCGAACUACGU
rnacentral:rRNA from 1 species